rnacentral:rRNA from 1 species
GCUUACGGCCACACUACCUUGAAAACGCCCGAUCUCGUCUGAUCUCGGAAGCUAAGCAGGGUCGGGCCUGGUUAGUACUUGGAUGGGAGACCGCCUGGGAAUACCAGGUGCUGUAAGCC